UACGUAGGGGGCUAGCGUUGUCCGGAUUUAUUGGGCGUAAAGAGCGUGUAGGCGGCCAUGUAGGUCCGGUGUGAAAACUCGAGGCUUAACCUCGAGAUGUCAUCGGAAACCAUUUGGCUAGAGUCCGGAAGAGGAGAGUGGAAUUCCUGGUGUAGCGGUGAAAUGCGCAGAUAUCAGGAAGAACACCCGGGGCGAAGGCGGUUCUCUGGGACGGUACUGACGCUGAGACGCCAAAGCGGGGGGAGCGAACAGG
rnacentral:rRNA from 1 species